GUUAGCGGCGGACGGGUGAGUAACACGUGGGUAACCUACCUAUAAGACUGGGAUAACUUCGGGAAACCGGAGCUAAUACCGGAUAACAUUUGGAACCGCAUGGUUCUAAAGUGAAAGAUGGUUUUGCUAUCACUUAUAGAUGGACCCGCGCCGUAUUAGCUAGUUGGUAAGGUAACGGCUUACCAAGGCAACGAUACGUAGCCGACCUGAGAGGGUGAUCGGCCACACUGGAACUGAGACACGGUCCAGACUCCUACGGGAGGCAGCAGUAGGGAAUCUUCCGCAAUGGGCGAAAGCCUGACGGAGCAACGCCGCGUGAGUGAUGAAGGGUUUCGGCUCGUAAAACUCUGUUAUUAGGGAAGAACAAACGUGUAAGUAACUAUGCACGUCUUGACGGUACCUAAUCAGAAAGCCACGGCUAACUACGUGCCAGCAGCCGCGGUAAUACGUAGGUGGCAAGCGUUAUCCGGAAUUAUUGGGCGUAAAGCGCGCGUAGGCGGUUUCUUAAGUCUGAUGUGAAAGCCCACGGCUCAACCGUGGAGGGUCAUUGGAAACUGGGAAACUUGAGUGCAGAAGAGGAAAGUGGAAUUCCAUGUGUAGCGGUGAAAUGCGCAGAGAUAUGGAGGAACACCAGUGGCGAAGGCGACUUUCUGGUCUGUAACUGACGCUGAUGUGCGAAAGCGUGGGGAUCAAACAGGAUUAGAUACCCUGGUAGUCCACGCCGUAAACGAUGAGUGCUAAGUGUUAGG
rnacentral:rRNA from 1 species